rnacentral:rRNA from 1 species
UUGACCUCGGAUCAGGUAGGGAUACCCGCUGAACUUAAGCAUAUCAAUAAGCGGAGGAAAAGAAACCAACAGGGAUUGCCCCAGUAACGGCGAGUGAAGCGGCAAGAGCUCAAAUUUGAAAGCUGGCUCCUUCGGGGCCCGCAUUGUAAUUUGCAGAGGAUGCUUCGGGAGCGGUCCCCAUCUAAGUGCCCUGGAACGGGCUGUCAUAGAGGGUGAGAAUCCCGUAUGGGAUGGGGUGCCCGCGCCCGUGUGAAGCUCCUUCGACGAGUCGAGUUGUUUGGGAAUGCAGCUCUAAAUGGGUGGUAAAUUUCAUCUAAAGCUAAAUAUUGGCCGGAGACCGAUAGCGCACAAGUAGAGUGAUCGAAAGAUGAAAAGCACUUUGAAAAGAGAGUUAAAAAGCACGUGAAAUUGUUGAAAGGGAAGCGUUUGCGACCAGACUCGCCUACGGGGUUCAGCCUGCCUUCGGGCAGGUGUACUUCCCCGUGGGCGGGCCAGCGUCGGUUUGGGCGGCCGGUCAAAGGCCCUCGGAAUGUAACGCCUCUCGGGGCGUCUUAUAGCCGAGGGUGCCAUGCGGCCUGCCCGGACCGAGGAACGCGCUUCGGCUCGGACGCUGGCUUAAUGGUCGUAAACGACC